ACCACAUUUUUCAUACAUUUUAUGAAACGUACAUAAAUCAAGUAUUUAGCAGAAAUAUUUCUGAAUGCAAAUAGAGUUUAGGUCCUACCAAAUGCAUAAAAGCUUCUGGGGACAGAGUAUGAGCGAAUAAAGUACAACGUAUGUUUUCAGACUACAAUGUUUGAUAGUGGGAACCAUAACCUGCAGGUCCUUGGACGUGGAUGAAGACUUGAAGGCCGCCACGGAUCCAACGACCAACCGACGAGGGGAUCAACCAAAAUAAGGAGCACCUGCAAAGAAUGGAUCAGUCCAAAACCAAACAAAUGUCAACAUGGGCUCAGCUAAAGCAGAUGGUGAAAACCAGGUCAAAACAAAGGUUUACCCACAGAUCGAUGAGUGCGGUAACAGAUACAGACCAGUGACAGGAAGAACUACGGAUCUGCAGGCAAAAGAGACCCGAAAUCAAUCAUAAAUGACCAAUCCAACAGGGAGAACGCACAAGUGAUGGUGGGAAUCAC
rnacentral:lncRNA from 1 species